rnacentral:hammerhead_ribozyme from 1 species
AUCCGGUUAACGAGUCUCAAAAUAGGACGAAACGCUAGUCCUGGAU